rnacentral:miRNA from 14 species
AACCAGUAUCAGACAUAUAUCC